GACGAACGCUGGCGGCGUGCUUAACACAUGCAAGUCGAACGGAAAGGCCCUGCUUUUGUGGGGUGCUCGAGUGGCGAACGGGUGAGUAACACGUGAGUAACCUGCCCUUGACUUUGGGAUAACUUCAGGAAACUGGGGCUAAUACCGGAUAGGAGCUCCUGCUGCAUGGUGGGGGUUGGAAAGUUUCGGCGGUUGGGGAUGGACUCGCGGCUUAUCAGCUUGUUGGUGGGGUAGUGGCUUACCAAGGCUUUGACGGGUAGCCGGCCUGAGAGGGUGACCGGCCACAUUGGGACUGAGAUACGGCCCAGACUCCUACGGGAGGCAGCAGUGGGGAAUAUUGCACAAUGGGCGGAAGCCUGAUGCAGCAACGCCGCGUGCGGGAUGACGGCCUUCGGGUUGUAAACCGCUUUCGCCUGUGACGAAGCGUGAGUGACGGUAAUGGGUAAAGAAGCACCGGCUAACUACGUGCCAGCAGCCGCAGUGAUACGUAGGGUGCGAGCGUUGUCCGGAUUUAUUGGGCGUAAAGGGCUCGUAGGUGGUUGAUCGCGUCGGAAGUGUAAUCUUGGGGCUUAACCCUGAGCGUGCUUUCGAUACGGGUUGACUUGAGGAAGGUAGGGGAGAAUGGAAUUCCUGGUGGAGCGGUGGAAUGCGCAGAUAUCAGGAGGAACACCAGUGGCGAAGGCGGUUCUCUGGGCCUUUCCUGACGCUGAGGAGCGAAAGCGUGGGGAGCGAACAGGCUUAGAUACCCUGGUAGUCCACGCUGUAAACGGUGGGUACUAGGUGUGGGGUCCAUUCCACGGGUUCCGUGCCGUAGCUAACGCUUUAAGUACCCCGCCUGGGGAGUACGGCCGCAAGGCUAAAACUCAAAGGAAUUGACGGGGCCCCGCACAAGCGGCGGAGCAUGCGGAUUAAUUCGAUGCAACGCGUAGAACCUUACCUGGGUUUGACAUGGAUCGGGAGCGCUCAGAGAUGGGUGUGCCUCUUUUGGGGUCGGUUCACAGGUGGUGCAUGGCUGUCGUCAGCUCGUGUCGUGAGAUGUUGGGUUAAGUCCCGCAACGAGCGCAACCCUUGUUCACUGUUGCCAGCACGUUAUGGUGGGGACUCAGUGGAGACCGCCGGGGUCAACUCGGAGGAAGGUGGGGAUGACGUCAAGUCAUCAUGCCCCUUAUGUCCAGGGCUUCACGCAUGCUACAAUGGCUGGUACAGAGAGUGGCGAGCCUGUGAGGGUGAGCGAAUCUCGGAAAGCCGGUCUCAGUUCGGAUUGGGGUCCGCAACUCGACCUCAUGAAGUCGGAGUCGCUAGUAAUCGCAGAUCAGCAACGCUGCGGUGAAUACGUUCCCGGG
rnacentral:rRNA from 1 species